CGUAAACCGACACAGGUGGAUGAGGAGAGAAUCCUAAGGCCGACGGGAGAAGCAUUGUUAAGGAACUCGGCAAAAUGACCCCGUAACUUCGGGAGAAGGGGUGCCUCGCGAGAGGCCGCAGAGAAUUGGCCCAAGCAACUGUUUAGCAAAAACACAGGUCUAUGCAAAACCGAAAGGUGAGGUAUAUGGGCUGACGCCUGCCCGGUGCUGGAAGGUUAAGGGGAGAGGUUAGCGCAAGCGAAGCUUUGAACUUAAGCCCCAGUAAACGGCGGCCGUAACUAUAACGGUCCUAAGGUAGCGAAAUUCCUUGUCGGGUAAGUUCCGACCCGCACGAAAGGCGUAAUGAUUUGGGCACUGUCUCAACAAUGCACCCGGUGAAAUUGAAGUACCAGUGAAGAUGCUGGUUACCUGCGCCAGGACGGAAAGACCCCAUGGAGCUUUACUCCAGCUUGAUACUGGGAUUCGGUAUUGCAUGUACAGGAUAGGUGGGAGGCUUUGAACUUAUGACGCCAGUCGUAAGGGAGCCGCUGUUGGGAUACCACCCUUGCAGUAUUGGGUUUCUAACCAUCAGCCGUGAUCCGGCUGGGGGACAAUGUCAGGUGGGGAGUUUGACUGGGGCGGUCGCCUCCGAAAGGGUAUCGGAGGCGCUCAAAGGUCUUCUCAGAAUGGUUGGAAACCAUUCGCAGAGUGCAAAGGCAGAAGAAGGCUUGACUGCGACACCGACGGGUGGAGCAGGUACGAAAGUAGGACUUAGUGAUCCGGUGGUAUAAAGUGGGAUUGCCAUCGCUCAACGGAUAAAAGCUACCCUGGGGAUAACAGGCUUAUCACUCCCAAGAGUUCACAUCGACGGAGUGGUUUGGCACCUCGAUGUCGGCUCAUCGCAUCCUGGGGCUGAAGUAGGUCCCAAGGGUUGGGCUGUUCGCCCAUUAAAGCGGUACGCGAGCUGGGUUCAGAACGUCGUGAGACAGUUCGGUCCCUAUCCGGCGUGGGCGUAGGAUAUUUGAGAGGAGCUGACCUUAGUACGAGAGGACCGGGUUGGACUGGCCGCUGGUGUAUCUGUUGUUCUGCCAAGAGCAUAGCAGAGUAGCCAAGCCGGGAAGGGAUAAACGCUGAAGGCAUCUAAGCGUGAAGCCCCCCUCAAGAUGAGAUAUCCCAUAACGUCAAGUUAGUAAGACCCCUUGAAGACGACGAGGUAGAUAGGGCAGAGGUGGAAGUGUGGCAACACAUGGAGCUGACUGUUACUAAUAGGUCGAGGGCAUAACCAAG
rnacentral:rRNA from 1 species